ACUGGCUGGUGAAGUUACUGAUGGUUGCAUUAGGGGCGAAGUUAAUGGAGAACUCACCUGCAGCACAACAAAUUGAAAUUUCAGACUUUUUUUUAGAGAGCUUAAGAGCGAAUGCAGCGGUACUGAUAGAGGCCCGAAAAUCACGCAACCCUGAAAGUGUUGCGACAAGUGACUGCCCCCUUCAAGCUACAGGUUUCCAAGGCAACCGAGUGCGACUAAACUAUGUCGUCAUCGAGUGGGCAG